rnacentral:lncRNA from 1 species
AUCCCCUCAUCUUGUUGCAAUCCCUGCCCAUAUUUUUAACUCUAGUUAGUGAGAGUAAAACAAUUUCAAAUAAUAAAAUUCUUAUUUUUACACCUAUAAAUAAAGAAAUAAAACCGCACUUGCUCGGCUAUAAAUUCCUCGGGCGCAUCCGAGUCAUAUGAAAAUUUAGAUUGUAAGCAUGAGAGUCUGUCGGGCGUCAGCGGCUCUGUUGUGAUGGGUGUGGCGGCAGCCGGCGGCUUCAAAUUUGAGAGAGACGGAAUCGAGAGGAAUGGGUUAGGCUGUGGCUGUGUUAAAAGUGUCAGGGUCUGUUCUGUUUUGUGGCUUUAGAAAAUUGGGAAUUUAGGGAUCGGGUUUGGGUUUGGGUGUUUGGCUUUGAACCGUUUAUGCUUUUUUUUUCUUUUAAUUAUAAGGUAUAACCCGAUCGGCUUUAGUAAAUUCAAUCUCCAACCUUCUUCGUGCUUUGGUAGCGCAAGAUAUGGUGACUCUUUCAAACGGUCAACGACAGCCUUUGAUUGACCUCCACCACUUGAUUCAGCUCGCAGGUCUAGGAUUUACGUGCAGAGAAAGUGAGAUAUGGUAACGGCUAGUGGUUGAUACAUAGGACUGUAAUGGGCGUAGGAAUGAAGACGGCGGCAACCGCUCGCUUGCUAGCUUGUGAGGGUUUGACGUGAGUGAGUGUGUUUGAUGGUUUGAGGAGAGCGGCUAGGGUUUCCAAAGAAAUGUCAUAAUGUGAGUAUUCAUAUUAUUAGUAGAAAUUGGAAAAAAAUAUGAAAGUUUUCAAAUUAAUAAAAAAGAUAAUAAAAGUUUGA